UACAGAGGGGGCAAGCGUUGUUCGGAAUUACUGGGCGUAAAGGGCGCGUAGGCGGCCUGUUAAGUCGAACGUGAAAUCCCCGGGCUCAACCCGGGAACUGCGUCCGAUACUGGCAGGCUUGAAUCCGGGAGAGGGAUGCGGAAUUCCAGGUGUAGCGGUGAAAUGCGUAGAUAUCAGGAGGAACACCGAUGGCGAAGGCAGCUCGCUGGGACGGUACUGACGCUGAGGCGCGAAAGCGUGGGGAGCAAACAGG
rnacentral:rRNA from 1 species